AACGAACGCUGGCGGCGUGGCUAAGACAUGCAAGUCGAACGGACUGUCCAAUUUAUUGAACAGUUAGUGGCGAAAGGGUUAGUAACGGAUGGGUAACGUACCCUGUGCUUUGGGAUAGCGUCAGUUACUUCGGUAACUUUCCGAAAGGGGCGGUAAUACCAAAUAAUAUCAUUUGUCGAUAGGCAGAUGAUCAAAGAUUUAUCGGCACGGGAGCGGCCUGUCUCCUAUCAGCUUGUUGGUGAGGUAAUGGCUCACCAAGGCAUCGACGGGUAGCGGGACUGAGAGGUUGACCCGCAACAUCGGGACUGAGACACUGCCCGGACCUCCACGGAGGGCUGCAGUAACGGAUAUUGUGCAAUGGGCGAAAGCCUGACACAGCGACGCCGCGUGUAGGAGGAAGUCUUUCGGGAUGUAAACUACUGUCAGGGGGAAGAAAGUGCGCUUCGGCGUAUUGAUCUAAC
rnacentral:rRNA from 1 species